rnacentral:rRNA from 1 species
GUAGCGAGGGGAUCAUUACCCGAGUGAGGGCCCUCGCGCCCGACCUCCAACCCUUUGUCGAUUCAUAUCUGUUGCCUCGGGGGCGACCCGGACGUCCGCGGCCGGGAGUCCCCCAGAGGACCAAUCAACUCUGCAUCUUUGCGUCGAGUAUUGAAUACAAAUCAAUCAAAACUUUUAACAACGGAUCUCUUGGUUCUGGCAUCGAUGAAGAACGCAGCGAAAUGCGAUAAGUAAUGUGAAUUGCAGAAUUCAGUGAAUCAUCGAAUCUUUGAACGCACAUUGCGCCCUUUGGCAUUCCGAAGGGCAUGCCCGUUCGAGCGUCAUUACACCAAUCAAGCCUGGCUUGGUAUUGGGCGUCGGGAGACCCCGCGCCCUCAAUUCAUCGGCUGGACGGUUCGAAUCUCAGCGUUGUGGUAAAUCAAUUCGCUGGCGAGGACGACCGGACGCGCCGUUAAACCUCUAUUACAGGUUGACCUCGGAUCGGGUAGGGAUACCCGCUGAACUUAA